GAUGAACGCUGGCGGCGUGCCUAAUACAUGCAAGUCGAGCGAACGGACGAGAAGCUUGCUUUUCUGAUGUUAGCGGCGGACGGGUGAGUAACACGUGGAUAACCUACCUAUAAGACUGGGAUAAUUUCGGGAAACCGGAGCUAAUACCGGAUAAUAUUUUGAACCGCAUGGUUCAAAAGUGAAAGACGGUCUUGCUGUCACUUAUAGAUGGAUCCGCGCUGCAUUAGCUAGUUGGUAAGGUAACGGCUUACCAAGGCAACGAUGCAUAGCCGACCUGAGAGGGGGAUCGGCCAAACGGGAACUGAGACACGGCCCAGACUCCUAGGGGAGGCAGAAGGAGGGAAUCUUCCGCAAGGGGCGAAAGCCUGACGGAGCAACGCCGGGGGGGGGAGGAAGGUUUUCGGAUGGUAAAACUCUUUUAUUAGGGAAAAACAAAUGUGUAAGUAACUUUGCACUUUUUGACGGUACCUAAGCAGAAAGCCCCGGCAAACUACGU
rnacentral:rRNA from 1 species